CGCCAUUUUGGGCUUCAUUUUUUUCCUCCCCUCCCCCUCCUCUGCUGGUACAGGAGUCGAAAGAAGCAGCGGCCGAGCAGAGAGGUUUGCCUGCGCUUUCUUUUCCUCCUUUCCGACUUACUCGCGAUCCAUACGGUUAGAAAACUCGAGCUAUGUCCGCCAACAGGAACCUCAAGCAAGUGAGGAUUGAAAACAGCUCUCCGGCGUCGGCUCCUCCGAUGAGCAUGGUGGGCGGCGGCCCCAUGAAGGCGCUGAGGGGUUUGGAGCAGCCGACCGAGAAUGAAGCUCUGGCAGCCGCCAUGGUGAUGGUGAAGGAGGAAGAGGAGGAAAGCGGCGGAGGCUUCACAGUCGACAUUAAGAGCUUCCUCAAGCCCGGCGAGAAGAGCUACACGCAAAGGUGCCGUCUCUUCGUCGGGAAUCUUCCCACCGACAUCACCGAGGAGGAUUUCAAACGCCUUUUCGAGCGCUACGGGGAGCCCAGCGAGGUCUUUAUUAACCGCGACCGCGGCUUCGGCUUCAUCCGCCUGGAGUCUAGGACCCUGGCUGAAAUAGCAAAGGCAGAACUUGAUGGAACAAUUUUAAAGAGCAGGCCACUCCGAAUUCGAUUUGCUACCCAUGGAGCUGCUUUAACAGUUAAGAAUCUUUCACCAGUUGUUUCCAAUGAGCUUUUGGAACAAGCUUUCUCUCAGUUUGGGCCUGUGGAAAGAGCGGUUGUUGUCGUAGAUGAUCGUGGUAGAGCAACAGGCAAAGGUUUUGUGGAAUUUGCUGCGAAACCUCCAGCGCGUAAAGCUCUAGAAAGAUGUGGUGAUGGUGCAUUCUUGCUUACAACAACACCUAGACCUGUUCUUGUUGAACCUAUGGAGCAAUUUGAUGAUGAAGAUGGGUUGCCUGAGAAAUUAAUGCAAAAAACACAACAGUAUCAUAAGGAAAGAGAACAGCCCCCACGUUUUGCCCAGCCUGGAACAUUUGAAUUUGAAUAUGCUUCACGAUGGAAAGCUCUUGAUGAAAUGGAAAAGCAACAGCGGGAACAAGUUGAUAGAAAUAUUAGAGAAGCUAAGGAGAAGCUAGAGGCAGAAAUGGAAGCAGCUCGACAUGAACAUCAGUUAAUGUUGAUGAGACAAGAUCUAAUGAGGCGUCAGGAAGAAUUGAGACGCUUAGAAGAACUUCGAAACCAGGAGCUACAGAAAAGAAAGCAGAUACAAUUAAGGCAUGAAGAAGAACACAGGAGACGUGAAGAAGAGAUGCUGCGCCAGAGAGAACAGGAGGAAUUGAGGAGACAGCAAGAAGGAGGUUUCAAGCCGAAUUUCAUGGAUACUGAAGCUGUUAAGAUUCUGAAGUGUGGCUGAAGAUGCAAAAUCAGCUGGGAAGGAUGAAUUCUUUCUAGUAUUUCAGGACAGUUGCACUAAACAGAGUUAAGCAAGCUAUGCUGUUGGAGUCAUCUUGACAAAAAGGAAGAAUCCUCUAAGAACAUAUUUUCCUUGCUAAUCUCAUAACUUGAAAUUUUGGGUCUUAGAAGCAGGGCGGAGUGUACAGAACGAGACAAGAUGCUUUACUAUGGUUGGCCACAGAGUAUCCUUUUCAGGUUGGAGUAAAGCUUCAAAACUUCAUUCACCUUUUGCCUGAAGAAUCUGCCCUGAAACUUAAGAGCACCAAGCUACAUGGUUAAGUAUAAUGCUCCUGUGAAACUGAAGAAAGCUAUAUCUGCAUAAGAACAACAAUGCUUGAAUUAAGUACUUGUGAAAACUGUGUAAGCUUUUAGUCAUUAAAUAAUUCCAAAGUGUGGUUUAUGCUUGCUCCUUCAUUUUCAUUUUUCCUGUGUAUUAGCAUUGGGAUAGGGAUUCCUAUGUUACAAUUCCCAUUUUACAAAUCCCAUUAUAGGAGUAGCCUUGGAAGAAUGUAAUUGCUUUUCCCGUUCUUAGCCACAGUUACUGCGUGUGAAUACCUGGCUACCAAUAUCACAGCAUCCAGCAAGCCUUAAAGGAAUAGGUUUUUGCUAGUACUUCUAAUACUUCUAAUAGAAGAGAAUAUACGUAGCCCAGGGUUGAACUGUGGAGUCCUUGGUGCUCUCUGACUUUGAUGGUUUGCUUGCAGACCUUUCAUUACCCGAUUAGGUAACAUCAUCAGUUCUGGUGAGUGUGGGGUUUGCUCCCUGUUUAUAUGCAGUACCUUGCCCUGCCAGCGUUGGUGGGGACGUGGUUUUCUCCUUGGUAGUUCCUUGAUUAGAGUAUUGUUUGCUGCUUGUUUGUCUGUUGUUAAUCCCUGUUUAUCUGGGUGUUGGCUGCUGGAGGGGAUGUGUUCUGGUCUUUUUGUUUCCUUCUUGGCUUUUUUUUUAUUGUCACCCAGAUAAGCAAUGUGUUCUCAUGUACACACUGCUCAAGAGACAAUAAAAAAGUUUACUCAUGAACACUUAAGCAAAGACCAGGACUUCUGGAACAAUAUGCUCUGAACAGAAGAGGCAAAGAUAGAGUUACUUGGCCACAGUACCAGAAGACAUGUUUAGCAAAAAAACAAAGAGCAUUUCACCAGAGCCUGAUACCAACUGUAAAGCAUGGUGGUAGAAAUGGUAUGCUUUGGGGCUGCUUUACUGCAUCAGGGCCUGGGCAGCUCACCAUCCCAGCAUCUGCUAUGAAUUCUUCAUUGCACCAGAGAGAGCUUGAGGAUAACGUGAGACCAUCUGUCAGAAGACUGAAGCUCAACCAAAAGUGGACUUGCAAUAUGACAAUGACUCUAAACAUUCCAGUAAAUGCACCAAGGAAUAACUGAAAAAAAGAAAUGGAGGGUUCUAGAAUGGCCAAGUGAAAGCCCAGAUCUAAAUCCCAUCAAGAUGUUAUGGGGUGAUUUGAGGGCUGUGCAUGCAAGAAACCCCUCAAACAUUGCACAGCUGAAAAAAUUCUGCAUGG